rnacentral:rRNA from 1 species
AACGAACGCUGGCGGCAUGCCUAACACAUGCAAGUCGAACGAAGCCUUCGGGCUUAGUGGCGCACGGGUGCGUAACACGUGGGAAUCUGCCCUUCGGUUCGGAAUAACAGUUAGAAAUGACUGCUAAUACCGGAUGAUGACGAAAGUCCAAAGAUUUAUCGCCGAAGGAUGAGCCCGCGUAGGAUUAGGUAGUUGGUAGGGUAAUGGCCUACCAAGCCGACGAUCCUUAGCUGGUCUGAGAGGAUGAUCAGCCACACUGGGACUGAGACACGGCCCAGACUCCUACGGGAGGCAGCAGUGGGGAAUAUUGGACAAUGGGCGAAAGCCUGAUCCAGCAAUGCCGCGUGAGUGAUGAAGGGCCC